UUCCUCUCUCUCGUCGUCUUGAAGUGUUUUGACAGAGUGGCCAUGUCCUGAUAAAAAGAUUCUAGGGCAGGGAUCUCACAUUAAUGAUCUUUCCUUCCAUAUAGCAGCAAUAAUGAACUAAUGGUUGGAGGCUGUGUUCUUUGAGAUGAAGUAGCAACAAUCUGUUUUGGAAGCAUUUGGAAUUUGUUCAAAGGACAUCCAUCCGGAUCUGAGUUCAUUAUUCAGAUGUGUCCAGAGUAAGAGAGGGAGCAGAGCGUGGCAAGCUGGAGGAGGUUGAUUUGGCGGCAUCGAUGCAAUGCGACACGAAGCUUGUAGCCCCCUUAGUUAGACUUUGGACACUAUUAUGGCAUCGUUGGUAAAGAUAAGUGAGUUUCUUGAAGAACUAGCUCAGUAAUUAUACUUUUGGUGAUGUAAUUAUGGAGCUCGGUCUCCCAUACUCUUGCGAUUAUAGCCUUCUGAGAUCCAUACUGUAAUCAUGAAUGUUUUUCCUUUCAAUAUGUAUGGAUCAUGU